rnacentral:misc_RNA from 1 species
GGGGUUGUGGCCAUGGUUGUUGCUUUCUCUCUUGGUGUUGGAGCAAUUCCAUGGAUCAUAAUGUCUGAGAUCCUUCCUGUGAAUAUCAAGGGUCUUGCUGGUAGUAUAGCAACACUGGCCAACUGGUUUAGCGCAUGGGGAGUCACAAUGUCCGCGAACCUGCUCUUAGCAUGGAGCAGUGGAGGAACAUUCACAAUCUACC